CAGGUGAAUCGAGAAGAAUAAAGUCAGUGUGGACCCACUGAUAUCUGCUCCUUCCCAAAUCCUACUGUUACGGGGAUCACAAAGCCUGGGUGUGUGGUCAGCACGGCACCUGUCUCCUGGGUCUUCAGGGCAGCACGAAUCAUUUUCCUGAAGACACAGAAGUUAAAAAAAGGAGCCGACACUACCUAGAAAUACCAGUUUCCAGCCCUUCACCACGCAGCAGCCUGGGGUCCUGCUCACCAAAUGCAGCGCUGUCCUUUGGGGUCCAUGCCAGUCGAUGGCUCAUCCAACAACAGGACUGAAGGGUUGCCCAGCAUGCACACAGCGAAGCACAGCUAUGGCAGGGAGAGAGGUUGGGGUCAAACCUACAGCCCCAGCAGUGUGUCUUCAAGGAGCUGCAGGCAGCACUGCAUUCUUUAUGAACACAUCAAACUUCUGAUUGAUACGAGACAGGGACUUGGAAGGUGCAAUGUGAUGCUUUCCCAGGUGGUUGGGAGCACAGGGAGGUCCCACUGUUCCCAGAGGACAUUUUUCAUUUGUGCUAUGAACAUUACAGUGCUCAUUAUAGGAAAAAGAAGGAAAAAAA